AUCCGGAGUACAUACUUCUUUAUGUACCCAUAUGGACAUAUGAAAGCUAUGGAAUGUAAAGAAGUAUGUAUUUUUGAU
rnacentral:pre_miRNA from 1 species